AAGAGACAGGCUGCUGGACUGCAUUACAAUUGACAGAGUAUCUAAACUAACAGGACAGUGAAGAAGAUGGCUCCAUCUCUCUUGAAAUUCUGCUUCCUUCUCCUAUUGGCCGCUCAGUUUGUGGCCCCUCAGUGGUUUGUGGCCCCUAAACAAAAUUCUCCAAUACCGAUGGACUUCUCAAAACAUUCCCUGGAUGAUCAAUAUAAAGGCUGCAGAAACGAAAUGUUACAAAAAGUUCAAAAGGUUUACCUGCCUAGAGAACUGAAACAGAACCCAAAAUUUAAUUCCGCCUGGUCCAACGCAAAAUCGGCAAUGAAAUCCAAAUCUCUGGGAUAUCUGACUCUAGAACAAGCCACUGCCAUCUACGUUUACACAAUGCCAGGCGUUUACAGUGACUUCAACACAGCGGUCAGAAACGGAGGCGGAAAGAAUUACAAGGCGUUCCCGUUCAAGGCGCUGCAUUUUUACAUAACCGAUGCCCUGAAGAAGCUGAAAACCAAAUUUAAAAACUGUUAUCAUGUCUACAGGGGCGUUUCCAAGC